CUCUGAAAUUCGUGUUAUUAUUGUUGCACUUGUACAGAUUGCUGUGUCCCACUUGAGCGUGCAUAUGUAGUCUGUUAACAUGGUUCCCAGAGUUUGUUGGUUCAACUUCAUAAUUGAUCUAGGAUUUCCUCUCUCUGUACCUGUAUUGUUUAUAUCUUGCAUGUUUCCUUUCAACUGCUCCUCACUCUAGGCUUAUUUUGUAUUUACAGAUGCAGAUCUUCGUCA
rnacentral:lncRNA from 1 species